GAGGAAAAGAAACCAACAGGGAUUGCCCUAGUAACGGCGAGUGAAGCGGCAACAGCUCAAAUUUGAAAUCUGGCCCUCGGGUCCGAGUUGUAAUUUGUAGAGGAUGCUUUUGGUGCGGUGCCUUCCGAGUUCCCUGGAACGGGACGCCAUAGAGGGUGAGAGCCCCGUCUGGUUGGAUACCAAUCCUCUGUAAAGCUCCUUCGACGAGUCGAGUAGUUUGGGAAUGCUGCUCUAAAUGGGAGGUAUAUGUCUUCUAAAGCUAAAUAUUGGCCAGAGACCGAUAGCGCACAAGUAGAGUGAUCGAAAGAUGAAAAGCACUUUGAAAAGAGAGUUAAACAGUACGUGAAAUUGUUGAAAGGGAAGCGCUUGUGACCAGACUUGGGCUUGGUUAAUCAUCCAGCGUUCUCGCUGGUGCACUUUUCCAGCUCAGGCCAGCAUCAGUUCGUCGCGGGGGAUAAAGGCUUCGGGAAUGUGGCUCCUCCGGGAGUGUUAUAGCCCGUUGCGUAAUACCCUGCGGUGGACUGAGGUUCGCGCUCCCAAGGAUGCUGGCGUAAUGGUCAUCAGCGACCCGUCUUGAAACACGGACCAAGGAGUCGUCUUCGUAUGCGAGUGUUCGGGUGUUAAACCCCUACGCGUAAUGAAAGUGAACGCAGGUGAGAGCUUCGGCGCAUCAUCGACCGAUCCUGAUGUUCUCGGACGGAUUUGAGUAAGAGCAUACGGGGCCGGACCCGAAAGAAGGUGAACUAUGCCUGUAUAGGGUGAAGCCAGAGGAAACUCUGGUGGAGGCUCGCAGCGGUUCUGACGUGCAAAUCGAUCGUCAAAUAUGGGCAUGGGGGCGAAAGACUAAUCGAACCUUCUAGUAGCUGGUUUCCGCCGAAGUUUCCCUCAGGAUAGCAGUGUUGAGCUCAGUUUUAUGAGGUAAAGCGAAUGAUUAGGGACUCGGGGGCGCUAUUUAGCCUUCAUCCAUUCUCAAACUUUAAAUAUGUAAGAAGCCCUUGUUACUUAAUUGAACGUGGGCAUUCGAAUGUAUCAACACUAGUGGGCCAUUUUUGGUAAGCAGAACUGGCGAUGCGGGAUGAACCGAACGCGAGGUUAAGGUGCCAGAGUAGACGCUCAUCAGACACCACAAAAGGUGUUAGUACAUCUUGACAGCAGGACGGUGGCCAUGGAAGUCGGAAUCCGCUAAGGAGUGUGUAACAAC
rnacentral:rRNA from 1 species